GGAGAGGUGGCCGAGUGGCCGAAGGCGCUCCCCUGCUAAGGGAGUAUGGGCGUUAAAUCCCAUCGAGGGUUCGAAUCCCUCCCUCUCCG
rnacentral:tRNA from 1 species